rnacentral:rRNA from 1 species
AUUGAACGCUGGCGGCAGGCUUAACACAUGCAAGUCGAGCGGAGAUGAGGUGCUUGCACCUUAUCUUAGCGGCGGACGGGUGAGUAAUGCUUAGGAAUCUGCCUAUUAGUGGGGGACAACAUUCCGAAAGGAAUGCUAAUACCGCAUACGCCCUACGGGGGAAAGCAGGGGAUCUUCGGACCUUGCGCUAUUAGAUGAGCCUAAGUCGGAUUAGCUAGUUGGUGGGGUAAAGGCCUACCAAGGCGACGAUCUGUAGCGGGUCUGAGAGGAUGACCCGCCACACUGGGACUGAGACACGGCCCAGACUCCUACGGGAGGCAGCAGUGGGGAAUAUUGGACAAUGGGCGGAAGCCUGAUCCAGCCAUGCCGCGUGUGUGAAGAAGGCCUUUUGGUUGUAAAGCACUUUAAGCGAGGAGGAGGCUACCUGGAUUAAUACUCUAGGAUAGUGGACGUUACUCGCAGAAUAAGCACCGGCUAACUCUGUGCCAGCAGCCGCGGUAACAC